AUUAAGUUGGCAGAGAAUGUAGUUGAUUUAGGAUCAACCCACACGAAUAUUUUCGUACUUAAUA
rnacentral:tRNA from 1 species